UACGGAAGGCAGCAGUGGGGAAUAUUGGACAAUGGGCGAAAGCCUGAUCCAGCCAUGCCGCAUGAGUGAAGAAGGCCUUCGGGUUGUAAAGCUCUUUUAGUGAGAAAGAUAAUGACGGUACUCACAGAAGAAGUCCUGGCUAACUCCGUGCCAGCAGCCGCGGUAAUACGGAGAGGGCUAGCGUUAUUCGGAAUUAUUGGGCGUAAAGAGCGCGUAGGCUGAUUAGUAAGUUAAAAGUGAAAUCCCAAAGCUUAAACUUUGGAAUUGCUUUUUAAAACUGCUAGUCUAGAGAUUGAAAGAGGAUAGAGGAAUUCCUAGUGUAGAGGUGAAAUUCGUAAAUAUUAGGAGGAACACCAGUGGCGAAGGCGUCUAUCUGGUUCAAAUCUGACGCUGAGGCGCGAAGGGCGUGGGGAGCAAACAGGGAUUUAGAUA
rnacentral:rRNA from 1 species